rnacentral:rRNA from 1 species
UACGAAGGGGGCUAGCGUUGCUCGGAAUCACUGGGCGUAAAGGGUGCGUAGGCGGGUCUUUAAGUCAGGGGUGAAAUCCUGGAGCUCAACUCCAGAACUGCCUUUGAUACUGAAGAUCUUGAGUUCGGGAGAGGUGAGUGGAACUGCGAGUGUAGAGGUGAAAUUCGUAGAUAUUCGGAAGAACACCAGUGGCGAAGGCGGCAUCCUGGACCGGCAUUGACGCUGAGGCGCGAAAGCUAGGGGAGCAAACGGG